UCAAGUAAUUAAGUGCUAAAGGCGGAUGCCUUGGCAUCUAGAGGCGAUGAAGGACGUUGUAACUUGCGAUAAGCCCCGGUGAGCCAGUACACAGGCUACGACCCGAGGAUUUCCGAAUGGGGAAACCCGACAUUUAUGUCACCACUUUUGUGGAGCAAACCCGGAGAACUGAAACAUCUUAGUACCCGGAGGAAAAGAAAUCAAUCGAGAUUCCGUUAGUAGUGGCGAGCGAAAGCGGAACAGCCCUUAAGCUAUAUUUUGUCUAGUAGAAUGUUAUGGAAAGAACAGCCAUAGUAGGUGAUAGCCCUGUAUACGAAAGACUUAAUAUAGUGAAAUCGAGUAGGUCGGAACACGUGAAAUUUUGACUGAAUAUGGGAGGACCAUCUUCCAAGGCUAAAUACUCCUAGAUGACCGAUAGUGAACAAGUACCGUGAGGGAAAGGUGAAAAGUCCCCCUGUUAGGGGAGUGAAAUAGUACCUGAAAUCUUUAGCAUACAAUCAGUCAGAGCCCUUCGGGGUGAUGGCGUACCUUUUGUAUAAUGGGUCAGCGACUUAAUUUCAGUAGCAAGCUUAACGUUAGGUAGGCGUAGGGAAACCGAGUCUUAAAUGGGCGAAUUAGUUGCUGGAAUUAGACCCGAAACCAAGCGAUCUAUCCAUGGUCAGGUUGAAGUGUGAGUAACAUCACAUGGAGGACCGAACCCACUUAUGUUGAAAAAUGAGGGGAUGAACUGUGGAUAGGGGUGAAAGGCCAAUCAAGCUUGGAGAUAGCUGGUUCUCUCCGAAAACUAUUUAGGUAGUGCCUCUUGUAUUACCAAUGGGGGUAGAGCACUGUUUCGGCUAGGGGGUCAUCCCGACUUACCAAACCGAUGCAAACUCCGAAUACCAUUGAGUAUUAGCAAGGGAGACAGACUGCGGGUGAUAACGUCCGUGGUCGAAAGGGAAACAACCCAGACCAACAGCUAAGGUCCCAAAUUAUGAUUAAGUGGAAAACGAUGUGAAUAGACUUAUACAGCUAGGAGGUUGGCUUAGAAGCAGCCAUCCUUUAAAGAAAGCGUAAUAGCUCACUAGUCUAGUUUGUCUGCGCGGAAGAUUUANCGGGGCUAAAUCAUAAACCGAAGCUUUGGAUCAUCUUCGGAUGAUGGUAGGAGAGCGUUCUGUAAGCCUGUGAAGGUGAACCGAGAGGUUUGCUGGAGGUAUCAGAAGUGCGAAUGCUGACAUGAGUAACGAAUAAGGAGGUGAAAAACCUCCUCGCCGGAAGACUAAGGAUUCCUGUCCAACGCUUUUCGUGGCAGGGUUAGUCGGCCCCUAAGGCGUACCCGAAAGGGGAAGUCGAUGGGAAACAGGUUAAUAUUCCUGUACCAGUUGGAAGUGACGGAUCUGGUAAAUUGUAUGCACUUAUUGGAUUGUGCAUGCAGUGAACAGGUUCCAAGAAAUAGCUCCAACAUAGACCGUACCAUAAACCGACACAGGUGGUCAGGUAGAGAAUACCGAGGCGGAUGAGAUAACUCUGGUGAAGGAACUAGGCAAAAUGUAACCGUAACUUCGGGAGAAGGUUAGCCAAUUUUAAGGCAACUUUAAAUUGGUCGAAGAUACCAGGUGGCUGCGACUGUUUACUAAAAACACAGCACUCUGCUAACACGAAAGUGGACGUAUAGGGUGUGACGCCUGCCCGGUGCCGGAAGGUUAAAUGAUGGGGUUAGCUUCGGCGAAGCUCUUGAUUGAAGCCCCGGUAAACGGCGGCCGUAACAAUAACGGUCCUAAGGUAGCGAAAUUCCUUGUCGGGUAAGUUCCGACCUGCACGAAUGGCGUAACGAUGGCC
rnacentral:rRNA from 1 species